ACGGAGGGUGCAAGCGUUGUUCGGAAUCACUGGGCGUAAAGGGCGCGUAGGCGGUUUGAUAAGUCAGAUGUGAAAGCCCACGGCUUAACUGUGGAAGUGCAUUUGAAACUGUCAGACUUGAGUAUCAGAGGGGAAAGUGGAAUUCCCGGUGUAGAGUUGGAGGUCGUAGUGAGGGGGAGGAGGCGCGGUGGCGGAGGCAGCAUUCUGGAUGAAUUCUGUUGCUGGGGGGGGGAAGAGCGUGGAGGGGUGGU
rnacentral:rRNA from 1 species